rnacentral:misc_RNA from 1 species
GGCAGUUAGCGAAAAUGAUUUCUUGCCUUUGGUUAAUGUGAUUGGCCAAGAGACUCGAGAAUCAUUCAAUUCAGGCAUAUCUGCUGAAUUUCAUAUGACAAUCGCCUCUGAUGCCAGCACUAACAAGCCCUUGGAAUCUUCCUACUGCACUGUUCAAUUGAAUACAGCUGAUUUUGGGAUGCAUGUUGAUGGUAUAUCUAAAUAUGCUAAAUCCAUAAAAAAUUCAGAGAAUACUCCUCCUGACCUGAAGAUGGAGCUUGAUGCCAUUGAUAUGCAAUAUAAUCAGUGCUUCCAAGAACUCUUGAGGAUGAGGGAGGAAGCAAUAGAAAAUGCCAAAAAGAAGUGGAUAACAAAGAAGAAGAUACCCGUCAUGUGAUAUGCUAGAUUUCUUAGGAUUUUUUUCUCCUUUGCUCUACUGGUAAGACAGGCAUUGGAAGUGG